rnacentral:misc_RNA from 1 species
AGGACACCCAUAACCCUUGAUAGUACCACCAGCAAUGCACAAGUUACCAAGCUUUGGGAUAACAUCAAAAGGAAACUCUGCCUUCUCCCAAUACUUUGUCAUAAUUGGAGCGAUUUCUUUUUCCACACACUGUCUCACUUUUUUUCUGAGAGCUUGCUCCUCGGGAGUCAAUAGGUCGUUGAACUGAUAGUAGUCUGAGACGGAAGGAGGAAAGGAGGAUGCAGAAGUUGCUUGAGGGAAUGCAACAGAAACAUCCAGCGCCGGUAAACCGAAGUAGGAACUUCUUGCCUUCUCGUCCUUAUAAUCUUGGCGAUUCAUUUUGGCGUCGACGGUCA